rnacentral:lncRNA from 7 species
GGUGGGCCUGGUGACGCAAGCCAGGGUGCCCCUAGCGCUGGUCCAGGAUGUCUGCCCCUUCCCUAUCCUGUCCCUUCUAGUCGCAGUAGGAACUCCUCCUAUGCCUGGAUCAUCUCCCUGCUAAAGGCAGCUAAACCCUGUCCAUCUCUGAUCCCAGGACCAUGGAAAAGCCAAGAAGCCCAAGGCAAAGCGGGGAUCUCUUCCAUGAGCAAGCAACAGGCCAGAGGACACAGGGGAUGCACAGCAACAGAAAGGCACUUUCUCCUGCCCCAGCUCGGUGUUGGCUGUGUGAUGCCAAGCCACUUCUCAGCCUCUCUUGACUUCUGCCCUCUGCUCACGGUCUCUGCCUGUUGGGGUGUGAACUCGGAUGUUUAUCUUCAGAUGGUUCGUCACUGAGACCCAGGUUGCUUCAAAAGCUCAAAGCAAACCACAUCUGGAAGAUAAGGUGCCCCUGACAUUAGGAGAUUGCCUAUAAUAUGCAAGAUUAAUGUAUUCCCUAAGAUUUUAUUAAUUAUUUUGGUAUGCAGAGGUGUUAGUGGGUGGUUUAAAAAAAAUUCUGCUUCCCUAGGUAGAUUGUACCGGAUGCCCCAGUUUCCACAAAUAAAACCCUUCGUUGCUCCC